UAGGGCCACAACACCCUGAAGGCGCCCGAUCUCGUCUGAUCUCGGAAGCUAAGCAGGGUCGGGCCUGGUUAGUACUUGGAUGGGAGACAAAGUGCUUGCCUGCAGGCAGUCCACCUAC
rnacentral:rRNA from 1 species